rnacentral:rRNA from 1 species
CGUAGGCGCAAGCGUUGUCCGGAAUUAUUGGGCGUAAAGAGCUCGUAGGCGGUUUGUCGCGUCUGCUGUGAAAUCCUCAGGCUCAACUUGGGGCGUGCAGUGGGUACGGGCAGACUAGAGUGCGGUAGGGGAGACUGGAAUUCCUGGUGUAGCGGUGGAAUGCGCAGAUAUCAGGAGGAACACCGAUGGCGAAGGCAGGUCUCUGGGCCGUUACUGACGCUGAGGAGCGAAAGCAUGGGGAGCGAACAGGAUU